UUAUAUAUUGCUGGUAUAGGUGCCCUUCGGGGCUUAAUAGGGAAGUUUGGUUCAAUGCCGACACGGUCCCGCCACUGUAAUGAGGAGCAAACCCAUGUUGUGCCACUGAGAUGAUAUCUUGGGAAGGUUUGGGGGAGUGAUGAUCCAGAGUCAGGAGAACUGCCUAUAUAACAAAUCACCG
rnacentral:ncRNA from 2 species